CAACAAGAGCCACCUGUGCAGCACAGCCCUAUGGGUAGGCACAGGUGUCACGCACCACCUGCAGCCUGGGGCUGUGCUGAUGGCGGGCAGAGAGAUUUCAGGCAGAUUCCUCAGCUACAAAACCUGAGGGAAAAAAACACUCUGGGGGUGCUGGCAGGGUGCUGGGAUGGGACGGUUGAGCCCAGCGCCUCCAUCCCCUCAGCCACGAGAGAGGCAGUCAGCCAACCGUUAAUAAUGGUCCUGGGCUGAGCCUGCCUGGGGCACGUGCAUGGGGCUGGCCGUUACCGUUAUCCAUUACCAAACCUCUCCCCUGCUUUUCCAGCCUGCCUUGUACUUGCUAGAGCUCAGAGCUGGCUGCACUCUACAGUCACUCUGCUGGAGUACUGUGGUUUGCACCCAAAAGCCUUUAUUCCUGCACGACCUCUCAACAUGCGGCAGGCAGUGAGUGUUUCGUUCUGGGUGGUUUGGGUUGAUUUCUUUUUUUGCCUCCAUAGCACUUACCCUUUUGGUUUUCCAGCAGCUGCAGCUAUUCAGGGGGAAUUGACUGAAGUCUUGCAUCAAGGGUGGAUUUCCUGAUGUUUGAAUAACAAAUCUUUCAUUGUGAUUGAGUAAUUUGAUCAUUAAGAUCCUUGAUCCCCAGAUUUUCUGAAAUAAGCAUGUUGGUCUAACCAGGUCUUACCAAAAAUGGGAGAAAUUUCGCAUCCUAAAUAUUUUAGCUAACCUGACGGACUUGGCGGUUCAGCUGUACAUAGGCUGACUGCCUUGGCUCUCCAUUAAAAAAAACAACAAAACAAACAACUAAGAACUGUUGCAGAACUCCUCAGCAAGGCCCAUCGCUGCUAGGACAGCCUGCAAACCUAAGUUGCUGCUUUACCCACAGUCACUUUACUUGCCCAGACACCCCCCUGUGCUCCCCACUAAGUGUGGUUUACCCCUCAGCAGCCCAGCAUGAUGCCUGGAUGCUGAAGGAGAGAAGAGGGCAAGCCAGAAACAAUGGCCAGGCUGAGAUGCUUCAGUUGGCCACCCUGUUGCCACCCUGGAACACCAAACUACUGGGCUAGGUGGGCUACUGAUCUCACCUGGUGGGACAGUUGCUGUGUUUGCAGUCACAUGUUACUUGUGACUAAUUAGCUGUGAGCAUAGAGCAGCUAUAAAGAUGUUAGUAGCCAGUGGGGGGGUCUUGGAGGCAGAGAUACCUUUCCAUUUGCUGUUUGCAUGGUACUAGGGUCCUGCUAUGUGAUUGUGUAUCACAGCAUAAUAUUUUUGUUUCCCGAUUUCCAAAUACAACCCUGUGCAGCCUGACUUAAAAAGGAGAGUGAUCCUUUCCUGAUGAGCUACAACAGCAACCAGACCUCUAAGUAGGUUUUAAUAGAAGUAGAGAAGCUUUUAAAGUCUGCAGUGUCAAAGUAAAUUAAAGUGGCCCUAAGUAGUUCAUAAUACAACUGACCACAGUGAUUUCUACAGGGCAAUUAAGUUUUACUGUGUCAAUCAUCUACUAGGCAUUAAUAUAAAGCAGAACAGCUCUGAAGAAAUUUGUUAUGGACUGUCAUGUCAAGAACCCAAACGCUAACCUGCAGCGGCCUUGAUAUUAUUAAAAUGACUAAGGGUCAGAUUCCAAUUAAUCUGCAGAUUUAACAGUCCUUCACUGUAGUGGGUCUUGAUACAAUUAAGCAAUAAUAGAUGACAGGAAGGAUACUUCCUGGCAGCUAAUGACCAAUGGCACUAUUUGAAGGCCCUUAACCCAGCUGGUCAUUAACUGCUUGGAGACACAACCUGGAGCUCAUAUUUUCUAUUGUAAACCAUAUAUUAAAGAAAUAAAUCAAUUACUGUUUCCCCCCACUCCCAUCCUGUGCGAGCUGUCAGGCUGCUGCAGUAGCAAAUAAUUGCCACAGCAGAACCCCAGCCCCGGCAGCCAGCGGGGGGACGGGCUCUCGUGCCCAGCAUCGCAGUCCUGAAGCCCCCAAGCUGCUGCGAGCCUCAAGGGUGCCUGAGGAAGCUGUGGCUGCAGCUGGCGAGUAGAGGUUGUGCUCCAAGGCUGUGUCUGGGUGCUCAGCUGGAGGGAGAACCGUGUCUGAAGGAAGGAGAACGGACUCGGGCAGCAGGAGCACCUCGGUUCUCAUCUCGGCUGCGCGCUGUCACUUGUGCGGUGCCAGAGAAGUCCCGUGGCUUUCAUGCGAUACUGCGGCGGCUGGAAUAACUGAUGUGUAUCUCUGAGGUCUGAGAUUCCUUGUCAUUAUUCGGCCGGCACUGUGAUAGCUUUCUCUCAUGGUGACCUGAUGCACACACCAUGGUGUUAGCAAUGUUCCUGAAUCCUCAGCGUGCCCUUUGGAUUGCUAACGAGGGUGGUGCAUGGAACCCGGCAUGGCAAAGGCGCUCAGAGGGAAGGAGACCGCAUGGUGCCAGCACAAGGGCAGGCUGCUCCUUGGGCACCUGUGGCCUCCAAUGCUACCUUCACCAGAAGACUAUUGCACACUGGACACGGCACACCAGCCUGUGCAGUACAAUUGAUUGUAUUUUUUUAGACUGACAUCUAGAGCUGUCAAAUAAUCAUUUUGUCUCUUACUGCUAUAGGAAGCGGUGACUCGUUGCAUGCCAUUCCUCAGCUCACUUUUCAUUGCACCUAUGUAACAACCCAGCUGAUGGAGAACACAGUCGGUGUUUCCCAGACGACUGAUCAUUACUCACAGCUGCGGAUUCCAGCAAUGAAAGGAGACAAAUGGUGAAGUAAGGCAGGGGGAGAAAAAACAGAGAAAAAGCUAAAUUGGGGAUGGCAUAAGUUGACUUCAGUGGAGCAAUAUAAUACAUAGCAGAGGAUUGGACCCUCUAUCAGGCCUACAGUAUUAAAAUAAAAUCCAGGCACAAUGAUACGGUGCUUCUUCUCCAGCUGCCUUUGACUCUAGUAGGUUCAGCUGGACUGACUGCUGUCCAGUGCCAUAAUUCUGCUUUUCAAAUACACAGCAUGGAUAUUGCCACCUUGUGCAAAUUGCUCCAUAAUAACUAGUAGAAAUACAGAUUUUUUGCUGCCUUCCCCUCAAGAGCACUUUAGUGUUGCAGUUCGACUGAGUAACUAGUUGACUGCUUACCAGAAACCAAAGCUUAAAAUGCACAAGUCAAUAUUUAUGUAUUUAUUCAUUAUAACACAUUGGUCAGCAACUUCAUUCCAUCCACUUUUGACCCUGAAGUAUUUCAUCACACAGAUUUAUAAUGCAGUAUGUCAUUUUUAAUAAGUUCAUGUAUGAUGCUCUCUCCGGGGAAGUAAGGAUUCUUUCCCACUUAGAUGUUUCAGGGUGGUUUGUGUAAUGGCUGAAACUAGACUGAAAUCUGAUGUAAUGCACAAUCAAAAUGUUCUGUUACAUUAUAGUACAGUAUACUUCAACACAAUUUAUUCUUUUUCUAUGAGAACCAUGACUAAUUACAAUGUCAAAAGCCAAUCAUAAUACACAAAUGGUAGCAGUUUACAGACAUGGCAAUAUGGCAACUACAGGGUUUUUUUGUUGUCAAGUUUGGUUAGUUUGUUUAAUGUUAUACGCGGGGGAAAAAGGGAAGGCAAAGAAAGAAGGAACAUGAGAACAGUUUUGUCUCAUUUCUACUCAAUAAAAAUCCUACUGAGAUUAUGUUGCUACCAACAGCACUUUCUGCUUACAAAACCAGUGGUGCCCAGUGAAUAUUAUCAAAUUAAGUUGGUUAUCAUGCAUGUCUUUCGCAGCAUAUGGUGUUAAUGGAUGUCAGAGGCUGAUAAAUGCCUUUGUACAAUAUAAAGGCAUGGGGAAAACCUAAGAGCUGAAAGAUUUCAGUUGCUGAACUUAAAGGAGACUAGCUGAAUGGGCCUAGUCGCAUUUUCCUUUCCAUCAGCUCAUCAUAUUCAAUCUUUAAUGCGAACUUAAGGGAACAAUAAAGGAUGCAUAGAAGAAGUCACACACACAUCUCAUAAAACAAAAUUUAUCUUUAAUUUGUAAGUGUCAACAGCAGUACAAAAGAUGGAGUGAUGGUGAAUAGAUUAAGGGUAGAGAGGACAGUCUUGAGGUAAAUGAGCAUAAAUAGGCAGUCUUAUAGACACUCCCCUGAGGGGUCUAAACCCCUGUCAUGGCAUAUACUGAAUCACCCAAAGAUGACAUGUUUAACAUAUCAGGAAAGCACCUUGUGCAAAAAAAAAAAAAAAAAAAAAAUAUCCCCCCCACCCGAAA